rnacentral:sRNA from 2 species
CGCGUAAAACACCCAACUCUUCUGAAGUUGACCUCGAAUCAGGUAGGAAUACCCGCUGAACUUAAGCAUAUCAAUAAGCGGAGGAAAAGAAACCAACAGGGAUUGCCCCAGUAACGGCGAGUGAAGCGGCAACAGCUCAAAUUUGAAAUCUGGCUCUCGGGCCCGAGUUGUAAUUUGUAGAGGAUGCUUUUGGUGAGGUGCCUUCCGAGUUCCCUGGAACGGGACGCCAUAGAGGGUGAGAGCCCCGUCUGGUUGGACGCCGAACCUCUGUAAAGCUCCUUCGACGAGUCGAGUAGUUUGGGAAUGCUGCUCUAAAUGGGAGGUAUAUGUCUUCUAAAGCUAAAUACCGGCCAGAGACCGAUAGCGCACAAGUAGAGUGAUCGAAAGAUGAAAAGAACUUUGAAAAGAGAGUUAAACAGUACGUGAAAUUGUUGAAAGGGAAGCGCUUGUGACCAGACUUGGGCUUGGUUGAUCAUCCGGGGUUCUCCCCGGUGCACUCUUCCGGCCCAGGCCAGCAUCAGUUCGCCCUGGGGGACAAAGGCUUCGGGAACGUGGCUCUCUCCGGGGAGUGUUAUAGCCCGUUGCGUAAUACCCUGUGGCGGACUGAGGUUCGCGCAUUCGCAAGGAUGCUGGCGUAAUGGUCAUCAGUGACCCGUCUUGAAACACGGACCAAGGAGUCGUCUUCGUAUGCGAGUGUUCGGGUGUCAAACCCCUACGCGAAAUGAAAGUGAACGCAGGUGAGAGCUUCGGCGCAUCAUCGACCGAUCCUGAUGUUAUCGGAUGGAUUUGAGUAAGAGCAUACGGGGCCGGACCCGAAAGAAGGUGAACUAUGCCUGUGUAGGGUGAAGCCAGAGGAAACUCUGGUGGAGGCUCGCAGCGGUUCUGACGUGCAAAUCGAUCGUCAAACAUGGGCAUGGGGGCGAAAGACUAAUCGACUU